GGGCCGGGCAAACACGUCAGCAGCCUGGCCUGGGGGCGCUGGGUGGGGCAUGCAGGCGCGCCCCAUACAAAGGCAGGAGCAGCAAGCACAAAAUGCAGAGCAUCCCAGCCGGAGCCUUUGCGUCUUGCACAGCCAGCUCCACCACGAAGCUGCAUGUCUCCUUCCUCCUCGUGGCCCUGGUGCUGUGCUGCUGCUCUGGUACAUGAUCUGCACGGCGCAGCGAGCGGGGUCUCACGGCCUGUGCAAUGCUGUGCUGCCCGCCCCAGGAGACCGGCACGCAGGCUGAAGCCUGGAGAGGGCAGGCAGUCGCUGGACGGCACGAGCAGGGUCGGGCAGACCCAGCGGUCAUGCCCCCUGCGGCCCUCGUCGGGAUGAUUUCACGUGUCUUUGUCUUGCAGCCGCUGCUCUGCUGGCUCCUGCUAACUCCCUCGCUCUAUCCCCGCUCUCUGGCCUCGGCCUCCCAAACGCCCAACUCAUUGAGGAGCUCCAGACCUGUGUGAAGAGCCUCUCUCCAGGGGAGACCCUUUCCAUUCAGGGCCUCAUGGUAAAUCAGGGCUUUGGGGUGAACGUGGGUUGCUUCGAAGCAAGCAUGGGAGCAACAGUCGGAGCUUCUUAGCACGAUCUCCUGGCACUCAGGAGGGGCCGCUGGGUGCAUGCAGGUUGUCUCGGUCUGUGUGAGAGCGCAGCAUGGGAGACGGGCGAUGCAAAGCUUCCUGGGAGGAAACCACCCGGUGCAUCACUGUCGGGCAGAGGCGCGUGUGCGCUGGGGAUACGUCUCGCCCCAGCUUGGGGUCUCCAUCACAGGCUGAUGUAGGGGCAGCAUAGCCACACCAUCUCUUUCCCACCGGCCUGACUACUGCCCGCCUCGGUAGGGACGGGGUGGGACUCAAGAGCCAAGGACCCCCUUGGGUUUCCUCGCUGCGGGAACUCUCUUAGGGAGAGCUGCCACCUGGCUGGGACUAGGACUAGGACAUCCUGGGCUCUUACACGGCUUGGAAGAGGAGGUCACUCUUCCGUUUCCCCGAUGACGGCACCUUGUGACCAUCACGCACGGAUGUUCAGGGACGUCAAACCAGCACAGAACACCUUAACUGGGGUUUUAGGAUGAUGACCAGAUGACCAAAGCCAGAUGCAUCUUCACAUUGAAGAGUCGUGGAUAGGUGACAGCCCCACACGCUCUCCUCUUCUUCCCGUUCACGGCCUGGACUUUCCACCCAUGUCCGAGCACCCCGUGCUCUUCCUCGACCUGAUGCAGCAGCUUGUUUCAAUAAACUAAAGGAAAUGCA